rnacentral:misc_RNA from 1 species
CCCAUGUGGUAGCGGAGCUGGACCAAGUCGGAAGACCCCUCGAAUUUGUUGGAUGAGGAGAGGGUUCUGGGGGGAAGCUUUGGGUUGAUGUGCUCUGGCUUAGUGUUUAAGGUCUGUAGUUGCAGUGGAUUUGAAGAAGUGGAAGCAUAGACAUAGCUGCAGCUAAAGAAUAUAGAGAAGCCAAGAAAGCAAAGCAAGAAAUGGGGCUUUGACAUUCUGAACAGUGGUGGCCGGGGCGGCGGCGUUGGUGGUGGUGGUGGUGGUGACNUGAUGAGGGAGUGAGGAACACAGAUGGGGUAUAUAAAGGAAGGAGAGGUUAGAGGAAAAUG